rnacentral:rRNA from 1 species
UGGGGGAUAUUGCACAAUGGGCGAAAGCCUGAUGCAGCGACGCCGCGUGGGGGAUGAAGGCUUUCGGGUUGUAAACCUCUUUCGCUAUCGAACAAGGCCCGCUUAGGGUGGGUUGAGGGUAGGUGGAGAAGAAGCGCCGGCUAACUACGUGCCAGAAGCCGCGGUAAUACGUAGGGCGCGAGCGUUGUCCGGAAUUAUUGGGCGUAAAGGGCUUGUAGGCGGCUUGUUGCGCCUGCUGUGAAAACGCGGGGCUUAACUUCGCGCGUGCAGUGGGUACGGGCAGGCUUGAGUGUGGUAGGGGUGACUGGAAUUCCAGGUGUAGCGGUGGAAUGCGCAGAUAUCUGGAGGAACACCGAUGGCGAAGGCAGGUCACUGGGCCAUUACUGACGCUGAGGAGCGAAAGCAUGGGUAGCGAACAGG